rnacentral:rRNA from 1 species
GACGUAGGGCGCGAGCGUUGUCCGGAUCUAUUGGGCGUAAAGAGCUCGUAGGCGGCUUGUCGCGUCGACUGUGAAAUCCCGCGGCUCAACCGCGGGUCUGCAGUCGAUACGGGCAGGCUAGAGUUCGGUAGGGGAGACUGGAAUUCCUGGUGUAGCGGUGAAAUGCGCAGAUAUCAGGAGGAACACCGAUGGCGAAGGCAGGUCUCUGGGCCGAUACUGACGCUGAGGAGCGAAAGCGUGGGGAGCGAACAGG